rnacentral:rRNA from 1 species
UAAAUCUCGUGCCAGCCACCGCGGUUAUAYGAAAGACCCUAGUUUAUGGACACGGCGUAAAGGGUGGUUAAGGGCAAAACAAAAUAAGGCCAAAGACCCCCUAAGCCGUCAUACGCUCCACGGAGGCACGAAAUUCAGACACGAAAGUAGCCUUAGUAAAUUUUACCUGACCCCACGAAAGCUGGAAAACAAACUAGGAUUAGAUACCCCAC